rnacentral:ribozyme from 1 species
AAAAAAACUAAACAACAAAGACGGAAAAACAGGCAAACAGCAGCAACCCGUUUGAGGACACAAGCUUUAUUAUUAUUAUUUUUUUUUUUUUUUGGUUUUUCCACUAAAUUUAGC